UGGAUGUUAAGCCCAACCUCUCUUGGUGAA
rnacentral:piRNA from 1 species